ACGAGUUGGGAUGGUAGCGAUAGUGUUGAUCGUACAAAUGGUAAUGAUAGUAAAGAUGAUGAUGAUGGCAGCGACAAUGAAUCCUGGUCGUCGUACGAUAAUUUACCUGAAGAGGAUUUUGAAAAGAAGGAGGAGGGUGCUUGUAGUGAAAACGAGGAUAUUGACGUUCAGAACGAGGAAAAUCAUGGUGUUGAAUCUUUCGGGGAUGACAUAAGCCAGGCUAACUUUGAUGAUUGGAGUGGUGAAGAUGGAUAUGAGCAUGAGGAUGGAGCUAAUAUGGACAUUGAGGACGCUGAAAUCCAGCAACGUGCGUUGGAGACACAGUUGAAGGUUAUGGGUAUGACAUUUGCAUCACAAUGGGAGGCUCACAUUUUCUAUAAUAACUACGCCAAAGACCGUGGAUUCAGUAUCAGAAAAGAUAAGGUGAAACGAGGAAAAGGACUUUCAACCACUGUUCGGUAUAGGAGAUACGUUUGCUCGAGGGCAGAAAAACGUCUCAAUAAAUUUUUAAACCCGGAGGGCCGUACACGCAGGCUAAGACCAGAGACUCGUUGCGAGUGUGGCGCACAUUUAGUCGUGAAGUUGGACAAAGGACGUGGAGUUUGGUUCAUGGCAGCUUUUAUGGAUGAUCACAACCAUUUGUUGGCUAGACCAAAUGAGGUGGUAUUUCUGCGGUCACAUCGAGUGAUGGGAGAUCACCAAAUAGCUGAGAUCUUGGCGAUGGAAGGAGCUAGGAUCAGAAAGCAUAUCAUCGUUGACAACUUCAUUAGCAGGUAUGGCUCGUAUGAUAAGUGUGGGUUUCUGAGACGAGACGUGUACAAUCUAUGUUGCCGAGAAAAAAUGAAGUUGAUUGCGAAGGGUGAUGCUAACACGGCAAUCGGGAUUAUGAGGAGCAGAAAGGAGAAGGAUCCAGAGUUUUUCUUUGAGUACGUGCUCGAUAAGGAGGGCCGUUUGAAGAGCAUGUUCUGGUGCGAUGCACAGUCGCGGCGGGACUAUCAAUUGUAUGGAGAUGUGACGGUGUUCGACAGCACGUAUAAGAUGAACAGAUAUGGUAUGCCGUUCAUCCCCUUUGUUGGUGUAAACAAUCACCGUUGCACCACAGUUUUUGGUUGUGCCAUUGUGUCCGACGAGACCGAAGUGACGUACGUGUGGCUGCUUCAGACAUUCCUGAAGGCCAAUUGUCAGAAAAAGCCAAGGUCAAUCAUCACAGAUGGAGACGCUGCAAUGAUACGAGCUAUUCGGUUGGUUUUGGUUGAUGUGUUGCAUCGUCUCUGCUCAUGGCACGUGGAAAAAACAUGCAGAAGCACCUUAAUUACAAAUCGCUAA
rnacentral:rRNA from 1 species